rnacentral:lncRNA from 1 species
UCCUUUUGCACCAUCCUAUUCAUUUUGGUAAAUUUCUCUAGGGUUUUUCUUUAUAGUUUAAUGUGUGCAUACAUACUGUUUGGCAUCUUGCUCUCCCUCUCCCACUUAAAGCACACUGUCUCUACAACUGUCUUUAGAGGCCCUCAUGUCUCUUAUUAGAGUUGAGAAUUCCCCUGCUGUUGGCCACCUCGAGCAUCCUGUUCCAUCUUGGAUAACACUAUAGUUGAAGCCUUUUGCACAAAGCCCUUUUCAUACUUUAGAUCAUCAGAUUGGUUUCCAGUAGUAGGUCAUCCACUUCUAGGGACCUUAGUAUUUGGCCACUUCUGACAUUUAAGUCAUUUGGUAUUUCACUUGGUCAACACUGACAUUUAGUGCCUACUAGUCAUUUAAUAAAACCUUUUAAAAAUAAACCUGAACAACUAAAUGGCCUUCAAGAAAUACUGUGGGAAUAUUGCACCCUGUGUCUUGGUUACAUCAUCCCGUGAAAACAGAAAUUCAACAAACCUAAUUUUGUUGCUGCAAAACUUGAGUCAUUGCAAAGUGAGAAAAAAGGCAGAAAGAUUUACUGAUGACUCAGGGAUGAGGGGAAGCAAGGUGUAGGUAGAUGGGCUGUUUGGGAAUGAGGUACAUAUCUCCACUCCCGGGUCACAGAUACUUGUCCCAUGAGAUCAAAGCAAGAUACAGAAGUGGCAGCUCAAGAAUAAGCUCUGGUUUGCACUGGUUCGGAUCAACUCCAGAGACAAUGGACCAGGCCCUGCGCCAGGCCACCCACUGCUUUGUGAUCUCAGAAAUCUCAGUUGCUCAAGACUUCUUCCAGAUGCACUUCCGGUGAGUCAUCAACUUCCAGACGCACUUCCAG